GGGCGCUUAGAUCAGAGGGAGAUCGCUUCCUUGACACGGAAGAGGUCACAGGUUCAAGUCCUGUAGCGCCCACCA
rnacentral:tRNA from 1 species